rnacentral:lncRNA from 1 species
GACAAGCACAAUUUCAAGGUCCUGGUCAUUUUCAAGCACAUCCACCAUCAUCUGGUUUACUACCUAAUCCUUCAAUGCCACUUCUUCCAUCUCCUAGAAUGAAUGGCCCACCCCCUCUUCCAUCCCCACGUUUGAAUGGUCCUCCUCCACCUCUUCCUUCCCCGGGAAUAAAUGGGCCUCCUCCUUUGCCUUCACCGACUUCUCAGUAUCUUUUGCCAUCACCCACUGGCUUUUUGAACUUGUUAUCUCCCCGGUCCCCUUAUCCAUUGCUUUCUCCGGGUAUGCAUCAUCCUCCACCACUUACACCA